GGUCCCUCCUCCAGCCAAUUCGCGCUCGUUGGGGCGUUAAAUGGCUGCGAGGCAGGGGGGGGGGGGUGUGUUCUCCGCUGACUGCUUGGGUGGCGGGAAAGGGAACCCCGCCGUCUUAAAAGCCCUGGCCUUGAUAUUUUCAACUGUUAGUUGAAAAGCUUCUCAUUUUCCACCACAUGUUAGGUUCAGUGAUUAUUGGGUCCACGGCGCGUAUAUUAUCUCAUUCGCCCUCAGUCAACUGAGGAUGGGAGGGGCAACUAGAUCUAGUGGGAAUGCGAUUGGGGGAGAGGAGAGAACGGUGGUCGGGGUGGAGAGGCCAUUCUCCUCCCCUCGGCUUCAUAUUCAGGUCUUGCUGCAUUUGGACAUGGACUGCUUCAGCAUCUGAGGAGUCACGAAUGGUGCUGAACAUUGUGCAAUCAUCAGCGAACAUCCCCAUUUCUGACCUUAUGAUGGAAGGAAGGUCAUUGAUGAAGCAGCUGAAGAUAGUUGGGCCUAGGAAACUACCCUGAGGAACUUCAGCCCAUGAUCAACGAAACAGUGAAGAUGAAAAUUUACCACAGGAAUUAAGAUGAUUGGAAUUGUCAAGUUGAGAAGGAGUCCCUCAUCUCUCAAAACAAGAAUCUCCACAACUUUUGCAGAAGUGCAGUUUUUUAAAGAAAGAGCAGUGUUCAUAAAAAUAAACUAAUACAGUUAACUGUUACAAAAUAUGAGGAAAAGCCUAACCUAAUUUGAUUGCCUGAAUCGAAGGCACUGAUGUUACAGUCAAGAAAAAGUUUACUCCACAAAUGUCAAUCUGCUUUUAUGUUAUAGUCAUGUUAGCCUUUAACUCUUGUCUGUUAUGUAAGGGAUUAUAAGUCGAUUCAGAUACAGGGACUAUUGGACUGUUGAAUUAAAGUGGGCUUUGAGGCAA